rnacentral:rRNA from 1 species
UACAGAGGUGGCAAGCGUUGUUCGGAAUUACUGGGCGUAAAGGGCGCGUAGGCGGCUUGGUCAGUCCCGUGUGAAAUCCCUCGGCUCAACUGAGGAACUGCACGGGAAACUGCCUGGCUUGAGUUCGGGAGAGGGAAGCGGAAUUCCGGGUGUAGCGGUGAAAUGCGUAGAUAUCUGGAGGAACACCGGUGGCGAAGGCGGCAUCCUGGACCGGCAUUGACGCUGAGGCGCGAAAGCGUGGGGAGCAAACAGG